AACAGAACUAUAGCAAUACUGAAAAUGGGACUCAAUGAAAGCCCGCCCAUUACAAGUUCGAAUCCCAGAGGCAUCAAUUUAUGUUUGACUAUAUCUCUCCAUUUUCUUGAGGGAGGCUUGGGUGUCGUUAUGGGCAAUGAGAUAUGGUUCUUGCAAGUGGCCCCAUGAUAUAUAUUAUUCGGAUAAGGCAAACGAAUGGUUGUAUGUGAGGAAUAAUAAUAUUAAGAAUAUAAGGAAAAGUUUCAUGAAAUUGCCCCUUUUUUUAAAUUUUUACAAAAGCGACAAGUGUUGUAAGAGGCAUAUCCAUGGGUCGGGAAUUGAAUAUCUAAUUUCUCCGUUCUCAUUUGACGAUGUGGGGUUCUAGUUGCAUGUCUGAAUCCACACGGGGGACCUGUUAUUAUUACUGUGUCUAAUAGUACUUAAACUUGCGACAUUUAAAUUUCUCACAUUA